CAUCAAAUCUGGAGAACAUUGAGAAGGAGGCCUCAGGGUAUUUAGUGUCAUACUACAGGAUAAAUCAGGGUCCAUUAAAGGAAUUGCUUUUAACAAAUUUGCAGAAAGGUUGUCUACUAAAAUAAGGAACAAGAAGAAGUAUUGUGUAAGUGGAGCAGACAUUAGAAAAGCCCAUACUGCAAAUAAUAAAACCAACCAUGAGUUUCAACUGAUCUUCAAAGGAAACGCAGAAUUUAAAGAUGCUGUCACUAAGAGAGUUUAUCAUUUGGAUGAUGACCAUGAAAAUUCUGAUUCAUCAGAUUCAGAAGCCGAAAGAAGAUCAGUCAAUUUAAAACCCAAGAAACUAAAUGUUGUACGAAAGUAUAGAGAUCAAACGGCUUCAACAAAGUUUGAUAUCGUGGGAGUCAUCACAAAAACAAAGGAUGUAGAGACUAAGACUAACUCGAGGAGUAAUAAGCAAUUUUUUAUUAAAGAAAUUUCCAUCCGUGAUCAGAAAGAGGGAGUCAAUUUGUGCUUGACAUCUGAUCUUAAUGAGCAAUUUGAAGAUUUUGACUGGUCAAAAGGAAUAGUUGUUUGUGUGAAAGAAUGCUCCUGGAAGAAAUUACCAGAUACAAGUAU